CCUGUAAUUCUAGCUGCUCGGGAGGCUGAGACAGGAGAAUCACUUGAACCCAAGCGGCAGAGGUUGCCGUGAGCUGAGAUCGCGCCACUGCACUCCAACCUGGGCGAUAGAGCGAGAUCCGUUCAAAAUUUGGGGUUCAAAAAAACCCCAAAUUAACUACAUUAAACAAGCAACUCCACACUUAUGUAAUUACAUGUAUGUAAGUGCUGCAAAGAAGAAAAUGUAAAAAUGUAUGAAGAGCUGUAACAGAGGAAACUGACUUUUAAAGUGGUGAGCUGGCUUCCCUAAAGAAAGGCAUUUAAGGAAAUCUGAGGAAGGAGAGGGAUAGUCUGCCUUCAGAGUUUUGUUUUUGAGAUAGGUCUCACUGUCACCCAGGCUGAGAGGCUGAGAUCAUAGCUCACUUCGUCCUCGCGUCUCCAGCACAGGUCCGGGUUUCUCCACCCAAUGCGCCUGCGCACAGGCCUAGCCCAGUCGGACGCAGCCCAGGACUGCCAGGGGUGGGGAUUGCCUGGGUCCCCCAGGAAGGGCCGGGUUACGUCCGGAAAAAGGAGGAGACGAUGCCAGGGGAGAGGGAGACGCAGACACUGGGACUGGGUCGCCAGCAGAGGGCCUCGGAAGCCAAGCCACCCCGUCUGAAGACGCUUCUCCUUACGGAGCCCAGAAGCGCGAACGGAGACUGCGCAGAUCCCGUGCGCUGCGCCGGAAACGGAUGCAUAGUCUCGGACACCAGCUCAGACCUGCCGCCUGGCCAGGUCCGUGCGCGUUUGUAGUUUGUAAAGAAAUGUUCUAAUGUGUAUAUUUCCACGUUUAUCUGUAUAUUAUUCACUUGGGUUGUCUUCUGUUUGUGUUUAAUGUGAAGCCUAGAGUUGACCUUGGGAGCUUCAGAGGUAGGGUGCUAAUUUUUCUUGCAAGCUAUGUAGGUAGUGAAAGGAAGGUGACAAUGACUACAGGAAAUUCACCCUAGUCCCUCUUCUUCCCCAGAAGUGGUCACAAUUACAGGUGCUUUCCUGUUCCACGCUCUAUUGCAUAGCCCAGGUGCAUUUAUGGGAACAAAACCAUGGAGAUAGACACUGAUCUUUAAUAACAUUCUGUAAAAUGCCAUCCUUCAAAAACCAAAUAUCCUUGUAAGAAAGUUAAAACAUUUGGUGAAACUAUUAUUUUAGGCCAGGCACAGUGGCUCACGCCUGUAAUGCCUACACUUUGGGGGCGCCGAAGCAGGAGGACUGCUUGAAGACCAGCCUAGGGUAACAGAAAUCCCACUCAUCUUUACCCCCAAAAAAUUAGCCAGGUGCGAUGGCAUAAGCCUGUAUGGUAGAGGCUGUGGCAGGAUUCCCUGAGCCCUGGAGUUCAAGGUUGCAGCAAGCUGUGACUGUGCACUACAGCCUGGGUGAUGGAGCAAGAAACCCCUUCUCUAAAAAAUAAAGUGUCUAUAAAAAUCAGUCUUACUUAGACCAGCUGUCAAGAUUCUCCAGUUCAUAAAGUGUAAUACCCACUUAAAAUUUUAUGUGCUUAACGGUCAGGCGCAGUGGCUCACGCCUGUAAUCCCAGCACUUUCGGAGGCCGAGGCUGGUGAAUCCCCUGAAGUCAGGAGUUCCAGACCAGCCUGACCAACAUGGACAAACCCCAUCUCUACUAAAAAUACAAGCCUGUAAUCCCAGCUACUUGGGAGGCUGAGGCAGGAUAAUCGCUUGAACCCAGGAGGUGGAGGUUGCGAUGAGCCAGGAUUGUGCCAUUGCACUGCAGCCUGGGCAACAAGAGCAAAACUCCGUCUCAAAAAAAAAAAAAAAAAAAAAAACGUGCUUCAUAUUCUUCCCAGCCGGGUGCAGUGGCUCACACCUGUAAUCCCAGCACUUCGGGAGGCUGAGCAGGGUGGAUCACCCGAGGUCAGGAGUUCUAGACCAGCCAGGCCAAGAUGGCAAAACCCCGUCUCUACUAAAAAUACAAAAACUAGCUGGGUAUGGGGGCACAUGCCUGUAGUCCCAGCUACUCAGGAGGCUGAGGCAGGAGAAUCGCUUGAACCCGGGAGGUGGAAGUUGCAGUGAGUGGAGACUGUGCCACUGCACUCCAGCCUGGGUGACAGAGAGAGACUCGGUCUCCAAAAAAAAAUCAUUCCCAGUUACAGUAGCACCAAUACAUUUCAAAUUAAGAGUUUAUUUAGAAUACUUUGGCCGGGUGCAGUGGCUCACACGUGUAAUCCCAGCUCUUUGGGAGGCCAAGGCGGGUGGAUCACAAGGUCAGGAGAUCGAGACCAUCCUAACACGGUGAAACCCCAUCUCUACUAAAAAUACAAAAAAAUUAGCCAGGCAUGGUGGCAGGCGCCUGUAGUCCCAGCUACUCGGGAGGCUGAGGCAGGAGAAUGGCGUGAACCCAGGAGGUGGAGCUUGCAGUGAGCCCAGAUCGCACCACUGCACUCCAUCUCAAAAAAAAAGUUUACUUAGAAUGCUUUUUUAAAAGCAUAAUAAUUUUAACUAUACCUCAGAUUUUACAGCUUAAUGAGGCAUUCUAUUCCUCCUCUUUCUGGCUUAGUUUCUUGCCUUGAAGCCCAGUAUUCCAUAAAUUUUUUAGGGCAAUUUUUCAAGUUGAAGUAUUGACCUCAGUUGGGAAUAUUGUUAAAAUUCAGUUUCUAAUUCAGCAGGUCUAGGGUAGGGACUUGAGAUUCAGCAUUUCUCAAAAUCUCAGGUAGGGCCAGUCAGCCUUGGACUUGGGAUUAACAGGGCUUUAAUCAACACACACCACCUUAUAUCUCUACAUUAAAUAAAGAUCCAUUAGGUUAUAUAUAUACAAUAAAGAC
rnacentral:lncRNA from 1 species